GGGCAAGUCUGGUGCCAGCAGCCGCGGUAAUUCCAGCUCCAAUAGCGUAUAUUAAAGUUGUUGCAGCUAAAAAGCUCGUAGUUGAAUUUCGAGAUCAGUACGCUGGUCGUGCCUUCGGUAUGUACUGGUGUUACUGGUUUCUACCUUCUGAAGAACCGUCAUGUCAUUAGUUUGGUGUGGCGGGGAAUCAGGACUGUUACUUUGAAAAAAUUAGAGUGUUUAAAGCAGGCUCGCGCUUGAAUACAUUAGCAUGGAAUAAUGAAAUAGGACGUUUGAUCCUAUUUUAUUGGUUCCUAGGAUAGACGUAAUGAUUAAUAGGGAUAGUUGGGGGCAUUAGUAUUCAAUUGUCAGAGGUGAAAUUCUUAGAUUUAUUGAAGACUAACUACUGCGAAAGCAUUUGCCAAGGAUGUUUUCAUUAAUCAAGAACGAAAGUUAGGGGAUCGAAGACGAUCAGAUACCGUCGUAGUCUUAACCAUAAACUAUGCCGACUAGGGAUCGGAUGAUGUUAAUUUUUUUUAAUGACUCAUUCGGCGCCUUACGGGAAAC
rnacentral:rRNA from 1 species